UUUUUUGGCAAUGGAGGGGAGGUCUACAUCGCCUGGCCUCGUGUCCAGCAUAAAAGCUAUAAGAGCAAAAAGAACGCCGCUAUGUCCCCAGCGUAGGUCUACGCAGGAAAGUGAGAAGGAAAAAACGCACUGCAAUCAGCGCGGUGGUUGGAGAAUCUACGCUUGGGAAUGUCCCCACUAAAAUAAAAAUUUAUCGACUCUCCCAAUACAUGACAUCUUGGUAGCGGAUCUAAAAACAAACAAAAAACCGGAACGAAAAUACAAACGAAAACACACAAGAAAAAACUGUACCGGGAAAGCAUCAGCGCGCUUAUGAGGCAGCAAUUUUCAAACCUUCUAGACAGCUCAUUAUAGUUAAACCAGCAGCCGUGUUAUGAAUUCGAUUCCAUCCUGGCGCGACUAAAGCCGAAACGUAAACAAACACCGAAAGGAUUUUGAUGUCCUACGUCACGAACUCUGGUCAACACAUCAACUGUCGAAAUUAGAGACUAUAAUUGAUCAACGGAAUUACGGUUCACUCCAACGAAAAUUCGAUACUGUGAGAUAAUAGACGUCGGAAUAAAUCAAGCUUCAUAUCA